rnacentral:rRNA from 1 species
UACGUAGGGUCCGAGCGUUGUCCGGAAUUACUGGGCGUAAAGAGCUCGUAGGUGGUUUGUCGCGUUGUUCGUGAAAACUCACAGCUUAACUGUGGGCGUGCGGGCGAUACGGGCAGACUUGAGUACUGCAGGGGAGACUGGAAUUCCUGGUGUGGCGGUGGAAUGCGCAGAUAUCAGGAGGAACACCGGUGGCGAAGGCGGGUCUCUGGGCCGAUACUGACGCUGAGGAGCGAAAGCGUGGGGAGCGAACAGG